GUCUUGGUAGGGUUGUGGGCAGAUAGACACUAAGAUCAUUGGCUUACAAGAAAUUAAGGAACUGCAAGAGAGGGUGUUUCAUGUGAUCUCAUGUGAUGGAAGGAAUUGGGAUGGAGAGGGAGAUAGCAGACAGGAGUCCCAUCUGCUCUCGGAAAGCAAGCACUGUUUGAACAUUGGAGGAGCGCAACAAAUGAAUAGGGGACAAGAGGAGGAAAGCACUGGGUACGGGACAGCAACUGUUGGAAGGAUCUAAUCAUGCAUGCCUUAGCAUCAAGGGAAAGAUGGUCAAAAGCGAGACUUUGCCUCUACAGAAAAGCCAAACUGCUCCAGUGGAACUCGUUCCUCGAUGGGAACAAUCCACUCUGAGUGUGGAAGAAAAGAACACAGGAGCACUCGCCUGUUUGAUCUGGUCGGAGUGGCGUGCUGCCUUCGCGCGGGGAGAAGGGUGAGCGGGCCCACACCGAUGUUC
rnacentral:lncRNA from 1 species